rnacentral:tRNA from 1 species
GCACUGGUGGUUAAAUGGUGGAAUUCUCACCUUCCAUUUGAGAAACCUGGGUUCAAUUUCAAGCCAAGGCA